rnacentral:rRNA from 1 species
UACGGAGGGUGCAAGCGUUAAUCGGAAUUACUGGGCGUAAAGCGCACGCAGGUGGCUGAGUCAGUCGAUUGUGAAAGCCCUGGGCUUAACCUGGGAAUUGCAGUCGAUACUACUCAGCUAGAGUAUGGGAGAGGGCAGUGGAAUUCCCGGUGUAGCGGUGAAAUGCGUAGAUAUCGGGAGGAACAUCAGUGGCGAAAGCGACUUCCUGGACCAGUACCGACGUUCAGGCACGAAAGCGUGGGGAGCAAACAGG